rnacentral:misc_RNA from 1 species
AAGGCAUAACUCUUGCUGCGUCCGGGAGAACCGACAGCCUUCAGGGUCUCGGCGAUGAGCUUCUGAGCCCGCCGGCUCCUGAUCUCCACCCUCAUGCUCUCUGUCUUCACCACCUUGUCGUAGUGAUUCUUCUCCUUCUUCAACCGCAGCUUCGACUUCAGGCACCCCGCAAGCCUCCCAAAAGACUCCCUGAUCAUCAUUAGAUCUAUCUCGG